rnacentral:rRNA from 1 species
GAUGAACGCUAGCGGGAGGCCUAACACAUGCAAGCCGAGCGGUAGAGUUCCUUCGGGGACUUGAGAGCGGCGCACGGGCGCGGAACACGUGUGCAACCUGACUUUAUCUGGGGGAUAGCCUUUCGAAAGGAAGAUUAAUACCCCAUACUAUAUUGAUUCACAUGGAUUGAUAUUGAAAACUCCGGUGGAUAAAGAUGGGCACGCGGGAGAUUAGAUAGUUGGUGAGGUAACGGCGCACCAAGUCAGUGAUCUUUAGGGGGCCUGAGAGGGUGAUCCCCCACACUGGUACUGAGACACGGACCAGACUCCUACGGGAAGCAGCAGUGAGGAAUAUUGGACAAUGGGUGAGAGCCUGAGCCAGCCAUCCCGCGUGAAGGAUGACGGCCCUAUGGGUUGUAAACUUCUUUUGUACAGGGAUAAACCUAGAUACGUGUAUCUAGCUGAAGGUACUGUACGAAUAAGCACCGGCUAACUCCGUGCCAGCCGCCGCGGUAAAAC